GGGGUGUGGCAGGGGCCUGGGGGGGGGUUUGCAGGGGGGGGGGGGGGGGGGGGAGAGGGGGAGGUGAAGUAGAUAAAGGGGCGGGAAGUGGGAGGUAGUGUUACAGGCAUUAACAUGCCCAAUAGAUUUUGUUUUCCCUCCCAUAAAUGCUUAGGAAAAAAGACCUGCAAAGCUGGAGAGUGGCUUCAGGGUGAAUUUUCUGUGGUUUAAGGCUUUUCAGACCCCAGUUAGCCCUCUGCCCACCUGGGCAAAUGAAAGACAGGAAUGAAAAAAUAAAAAGGAGAGAUCACGGUAAACAUGUAAAUCUCCUUUUUACCUCAUGAUCUUUGUAGAAAAGACGUCAGUGGCAGCAAAGCUAGAAACCCAAGUGACAACAUGGAGGAAGCAAGAGGACCAUGAGAAGAAACAGGAAGCUGACCACAUGUCUUUCUUGAAAGACUUUCCUUUGUUUCUCUGUAGCUGAAAUUGUGAGCUCAAAGGCCUUCCAGUGUGGUCAAGGAAACAGCUUCCAAGAAACAACUAGAGAACGAGGCGAGAGAGCAGAGCAUCAGGAUUCAGCCCUGAGCUAACAUCUGUUGCCAAUCCUCCUCUUUUUGCUGAGGAAGACUGGCCCUGAGCUCACAUCCGUGCCCAUCUUCCUCUACUUUAUAUGUGGGACACCUGCCACAGCAUGGCUGGCCAAGCGGUGCCAUCCGCACCCGGGAUCCGAACCGGCGAACCCCAGGCUGCUGAAGCGGAACGUGCAAACUUAACCGCCGCAGCACCAGGCCGGCCCCUGGACAACUUUUUGUAUGAGUUACCCACUCCCCCAUCCCAUGUUACCCUCAGGAGCCUGCCCUGUGAGCCUGAAUUCCCAGCUCCUUUGUUGAAAGUGCUGUUCAAGGCAGCGCCAGGCACUGUUUGUGUGGGAGGACGAUACAAACAUGAAGCAGAAACAAAUGUGGCAAAGUCUUGAUAGUUGCAGAAUCCAGGUGUUGGGGCUUCGUUGUACCGUCCACUUCUUCGUGCAGGUUUGAAAAACAAACUCUAAGAGAACGCAGAAGCACUUCUUGUCUGCAAGAGUGUUACAUCUGUCUCAGAGGAGAGAAGCAAGCCAGCAACUAAUUUUUAUGCCAGGCAGAACGUGCAAGGAGGCCCUCCAAGAGGGACUCAGAAGUGCUGCAAACCGUGCAGGAGGGGAAGAUGACUUCACCUGAGGCACUGUGGGCCGCUUCCUGGAGGCAGGGGCAGUUCAGCUGGGCCUGCGAGGAAGAGAAUUUGAUUUUCAGAGAACAGGGUGGGGGGCCUGGUUCCAGUGGUCCAGGCUCAGAGGACAGCUGCCAACUGCACAGGCUGUGGGACAGACGUGACUGUCACUGGUAUGCUUUGAGAACUGCAGUCCAGUGGGUGUGGCAGGAGGGAGAACACUUUAACCCCUCGGCACUUGAUAAACUGUUGUGGAGAGGGCUUGAUUGAUCACUUUAACUUGCUCUUUGCUGGUUAAGCGCAAAGCCAGGAGAGAGCCUAUUUCAGGGCUCCGCUGGGAGAUGCGGAUGAAGGAGAAAGGAGCUUGAGAAGGGAUCUGGUUGCUGGGGGCAGAAUUGGAAACAGAGGCUCAGAGAAGUGAAAGAACUUAACUCACUGAAGGCCACACAGCUAAGAACGAGUAGAGGUAAGAUUCAAACUCAGGUCUCGGUCUCCAAACCCGCAUACUAUGUGCUUCUGCUGUCUGCUCCAGUCUCCAGCAUGCUUUGCUGUCUUGCUCCUCACUAGCGAUGCCUUCUCCCAAUUAGUAGAUUAGUCAUGUGUUGACACUUCUAGUCUCAGUCUAAUGGCUUGUUUAUUUAACUGAUGGAUGCUGCUCCCCAUUUAAGGCCAUUAGCAUUUAAACAAAACAAAACAAAACUGUUGAGCCUGGCAAAGUGACACUGUGUUUACUGUUUUUCUCCCAGUGUUAAUUGUGAG
rnacentral:lncRNA from 1 species